UCAACCUUCAACAUUCAAAUAUGAUGCUGUUACAUCGACUCGUGUAAAAAAAGAUAAGAUGAUCACUAUGAAAGAGAGAGAGAGAGAGAGAAAGAGAGAGAGAGAGACGACAGGGCCACAUGUGGUCAGUCUCCACCCACUCCUUUGUUUGUUUUCAUUCUCCUCCUCACUUCUUCACCCCCCUAUCACCCUAUCACCCCAUCACGAGGCAGAGAGAGAAUGGCACGCCUGUUGUCAUGGCUCACCUUCUUUUCAACCAACGUCUCCAUGGUGACACUGCCUCACAGCCUUUCAUCUGCUUCCACCUUCAUCUCUUCCCAUAGCUCAUCUCUCCCCUUGCGCCAAUUACUGUGGUUAAAGCCUGGUCCUUGUCUUCAGGAGUUCAUCCUCUCAUCUUUCCAUUAUGUUCAGUCUCAUUCAUCCACCCCUCCCUCCCUCCUCUCCUCCACUUUGUCUGUUUUCCAACCUCCUCCUCUGCUUUGCCCCUCCCACCAUCCCUCUCUUUCUCUUUUCCUCCUCUCCCCCUUCUCUUUUCUGGUGCUUUAUCUCUGCAGUCUCCGUCUCUCCUUCCACCACUCCCUGUCGGCGAUGCGAUGAUGCUGUCCUGGCCGCCUCCCAAACCUUUUGCCCCCUCGCUCCUCCACCCCCACACCUCCCUCCCUCCUGAUGCUAUAAAUACCCAGCAUCGGUGAGUCAUUGCUGAGACGUAUCGGUUGCCUCCCCUUCUGCCUCUCCAUCCUCACCCCCCCACCUCUUCCUCAUAUCAUUCCCUCACGUCUCUCUCUGCUCAAGCUCAUUGCCAGACCUCACACGAUUCCACACCUCCACUUUGGCCCUCGCAUCAUGAUGACCCAGCUGAGCUAAGCCGGGGCCCUGUGCUUGGCAUGGUGCAGCCAGUGUUACAGAGCGCGGCCAAAGGUCAGUUUGACACUUGACGACCAAAAACAAAAUCAGCAGGAGUGUGCACAACAUGGGAAACACAAUCAACCAAAAAAUAGUGGAUCACAUUCACUAACUUUCCAAUUAGGUGAAAGGAAAUGUGGCCAGUGCUCUCCUUAAAUGCCCCCUAAGUAGCUUCAAAGUCAGAUGAAACAUUUUUCUUCUUAAGCAACAUCAAAUAAAAAGAAAUGUAUUUGGUAUCUGCAUGUUCCAGUGCUUAAUUGCUGCUAUAUGAAACUAACAUGGAGUGAAAUACUGAAAUCCAAGAUUGCAUUAGUACAUCAAAGAUUCUCAUGUUUGACAUUAUACUGUAUUUCAUCCAAGCCUUUGAAUAUGGAUUUUAAUUUAAAUUGAGGUUAUGUGUGUUUGAACAGUGCUUUAUCACACAAUAUGAGUUUGUAAUGAUGCCAACGAGGUUCAAUAGGUUAAAGGGAUUAAUGCAAAAAACACAUAACAAAGACAUGUUAGGGAGCUACUUUAGACACAAAAGUGUCUUUUGCUAAAAGAAAGGGUGGCAGAAAGAGAAAGAGGGCAGCUCAUCAUUUCCAAUCCUGCCCUUUACAUCCACACUUCAUAUCUCUAUUUCAGCCUAUCCCCUCUGUACCUUAGUGUGUCUUACAUGUAAUUUCUGUCCAAUGUCAUAUCUCAGUCCCAGUCCUCUCUGUACCUCCAUUUUUCAGCCUCAGAUGUAAUUAUUCUCCGUUUUCUCCAGCCACCACCCACCUCUCCAGAAUUAUGAGGCAGCUCUGGUUCAGCUCCGCUCAUCCUUGGGUAAACUCCAGUAUGGCUUAUUGGCUCACACUGGAGUGUGCGCAUAAAGCACAAAUACAGAUAAAAGUUUUUUGCGCACUUCUGAGUCAUAAGUAGACAGGAAGAAGGAGCAAGCAAGGUGAGAAAGGGAGACAGAGAGAGAGAGUAGGAGAAAAAAAAGUUGGAAUAAAGUGUCAGAGAGCAAAGAGAAGACAAGCACAGAAACACACACACACACCACAUUCAUACAAUAGAGAAGAUGUCCUUCACAGUUUCCUGCUGCUUGGUGCUAUUGUUGUUGUUGUUGUCUUUGCGGUAGAGACACUGUGUGUGUCUGCGUCAGAAUCAGUGGGCUAAUGAAGGGAGCAUUAUGCCUCUGACGCACUCUCUGGUCCCAUAGGGUUGGAUGGAGGGAAUAGAGAGGAGGGGAGGGGUUAGAAAAAUCACUCUCCUCUCUGUGGUCUUGUAGUUACUGUUUUAUUUUAAAUGAAAUGCAAAAGCAGUGCAGACAGAACCAUCUUUAAGAUUGCUUUUACGUUAGAGGUUUGUUGUUGUUAAAGCAAUAUGUGAGAACUGUUUCCCCUCUCAAAUACAGUACUAAGCUUUGAUUUCAUUGUGAUAUGUAGUACAGCUUCAUAUGCAUUGUAAUGUGUAUUACAAGCCCAAAGUGCAGAAUUUAUUGGGCAUUGUAAGCUUUAUAUAUACACACAUAAUGUAACUUGUAUACAUUGUAUUCAAAUUCAUUUGUAUCCAUUUUAAUCAAACCUUUUACAGCCUCAGACCUUAAAGAAGUGAAGCAGAUUAUGACAACAAAUUGAAUGAAUCAAAGUGGGAACAAAGUCAGUAGCAGGCUUACAGUGUCUCUUAUACAGGAAAUAAACAAUGACCUGAAUAACUGAGUAUUGCUGAUUACAGCUGAAACAAACUGAACAAAAUUAAGUUCUGUUCAAUUUUCUUUUUUUUUUUU